UCCGAUUAUGUUGAAAGAAAUGAAAUUAUAGGAGGCUCCAUGUUGAAGGAUUAUCAGAGAAGGACACGCCCCACCCAGGUUCCUACAAUAUAGGAUCCACUCAGUGGAUAUAUUCUAUAUUAGAUCCUUUUCCUGAUUGACCCAUCAAGGAUGGACACAGACAAGAUAGCGGAGAGUAUGAUAAAUCUCACCCUAGAGAUCCUCUUCCGGCUUACUGGAGAGGACUACACAGUAGUGAAGAAGACCUCUGGUGAGCGCUGUCAGGCCCCUGUGUCUG